rnacentral:misc_RNA from 1 species
UUAUUGUGUUAAUGUCCGAUCAAGGACUGGUUUCAUUCUUGACUUUUACGUGUUUAAAAAGGUGUAAAAACAGUUUGUGCACAGGGUAAGGAAAAUGAAUUUGGUCGGGCCUCUAAAAAGAGCACCCUUGAAUUUCAUUAAUGAUCCUUCCGCAGGUUCACCUACGGAAA